AUACGGAGGGGGUUAGCGUUGUUCGGAAUUACUGGGCGUAAAGCGUACGUAGGCGGACUGGAAAGUUGGGGGUGAAAUCCCGGGGCUCAACCCCGGAACUGCCUCCAAAACUUCCAAUCUAGAGAUCGAGAGAGGUGAGUGGAAUUCCAAGUGUAGAGGUGAAAUUCGUAGAUAUUUGGAGGAACACCAGUGGCGAAGGCGGCUCACUGGCUCGAUACUGACGCUGAGGUACGAAAGCGUGGGGAGCAAACAGGAGUAGAAACCCUAGUAGUCC
rnacentral:rRNA from 1 species